rnacentral:rRNA from 1 species
CGGCGGACGGGUGAGUAACACGUGGAUAACCUACCUAUAAGACUGGGAUAACUUCGGGAAACCGGAGCUAAUACCGGAUAAUAUAUUGAACCGCAUGGUUCAAUAGUGAAAGACGGUUUUGCUGUCACUUAUAGAUGGAUCCGCGCCGCAUUAGCUAGUUGGUUAGGUAACGGCUUACCAAGGCAACGAUGCGUAGCCGACCUGAGAGGGUGGUCGGCCACACUGGAACUGAGACACGGUCCAGACUCCUACGGGAGGCAGCAGCA